rnacentral:rRNA from 1 species
UACGUAGGGUGCAAGCGUUGUCCGGAAUUAUUGGGCGUAAAGAGCUCGUAGGCGGUUCGUCGCGUCGGCUGUGAAAACCCGAGGCUUAACCUCGGGCCUGCAGUCGAUACGGGCAGACUAGAGUUCGGUAGGGGAGACUGGAAUUCCUGGUGUAGCGGUGAAAUGCGCAGAUAUCAGGAGGAACACCGGUGGCGAAGGCGGGUCUCUGGGCCGAUACUGACGCUGAGGAGCGAAAGCGUGGGGAGCGAACAGG